UACGUAGGGGGCAAGCGUUGUCCGGAAUUAUUGGGCGUAAAGAGCUCGUAGGCGGUUUGUCGCGUCUGCUGUGAAAACUCGGGGCUUAACUCCGGGCCUGCAGUGGGUACGGGCAGACUAGAGUGCGGUAGGGGAGACUGGAAUUCCUGGUGUAGCGGUGAAAUGCGCAGAUAUCAGGAGGAACACCGGUGGCGAAGGCGGGUCUCUGGGCCGUAACUGACGCUGAGGAGCGAAAGCGUGGGGGAGCGAACAGG
rnacentral:rRNA from 1 species